rnacentral:tRNA from 1 species
GAUCCCUUCGUCUAAUCCGGUCAGGACGCUGCAUUUUCAUUGCCGAAAAAUGGGUUCAAAUCCCAUAGGGAUUA